CCCACCUGCAAGGCCCCCCAGUUUGAGAACCACUGCUUUAGACCAUUUAGUCUUCUAUGUUCUGACUCCGUUUUCUAAAGACAAGCAGAUAUGAGUGUUUGUGUUCCCUCAGUGUAAUCAGCUGUGCACUGAGGGUCAUAAUGUUGUGCUGAUUAAGUUUGUUAUUCUGAUAUCUGUUGUGUGAAUUGUCUCCAGGGAAGGAGCCGAGUGUGGUGAGCUGAGCAUGAAGAGUGAGGAACGAUGAAGAAUCGUGCAAAUCAACACUUUUUUUUGUCUGUAUAUAUGUAUAUAUAAAUGGUGGCGCAACAAUUACUUUUUUUAUGGAGAAUGGCCUCUGUGCCAUUGCCAUACCAGGGUCUGCAGGCAUAUUACCUCGCUAUGUACGUUUCUGGAAGCCUCCCGAGUACUACUCUCUGCCGGACUAGUAAGAUUGUGGCCGACCCCUCCCACCCUGGACACAAACUCUUUGAGGUACUUCCUUCGACAAGAGGCUGCGUUCUAUCAGGACCAAAACCUCACGCCACAAGACCAGCUUCUUCCCGGCUGCAGUUGGCCUCAUCAACAAGGCCCCGGACCCCCCCCACCCCCUGACAUGGACUCUUAUCCCGCCCCCACGUCUCAAGAUCUGACUCAUGUGUUACGUUAACACACAUUACAUUACCUUGCACAUUGCACUCUUUUUUUUUUUUUUUCUGUAGUACUUAGUAUGUUUUUAAUGUUUAUUGUCUGCACCAAUAUGCCCAAACUUGGCAAUAAAAGCAAUUCUGAUUCUAU